UUGGAUAUUUCAAAAAGUAAUUUGAUUUCCUUCAGUUACUUAACUGGGCCUUCAAACUGGCAGAGUAUGAGCAAAUCGAUUUUUUGACCGUGGCCACCUUUUUAGAUUCUUCUUCGAUUUUUACAGACAUUCACUCUUAAGAGUCAUUCCAAAGGCAAUUCCUAAAUGAAUCUGAGAUAAUAAACAAUCCGGAAUAUGAAUGAAGUUUCUACACACACACCACAAGAACAAUUCAACUUUAUCUCUUUGCAGGAUGAAGGCUUGGAAAUAAGACAACAUAUAACGAGUUCAAACUCACAUAUAAUUCAAAGUGAGCUGCAGAGAGUUAUGUUUGUCAUAAGACGACAUUCGUUGGUACACUACCAACGAACAAGGUAUGCACUUUGAAAAUAUCAAAUAUAGGCAUACAAACAUUCUACAAUAAUAGAGUAUAGUUGUUCCCACCUUUUUUAGCCCACGAAUAACCUUUUAACCUUUCAUGAUAUUUACACGUUGAAAAAAUACAAACAACACUCCAGCUCCAAAUGAAUACCUGACAGCCUCCAUGUCCCUUUGGUACCAAGCUGUACUGAAACUUUGAGCUGAGUGCCAAUAUAACACUUUCGUUAUGGGAUAUAUCAAAAAACCUCCGCGUCAAACAGUACUAAACUGUGAUGAACACCUUUCUAUAUCACCUUCCUGUUUCCUGUUGACCUUACACAUAGCACUGAUGGAAUACUGGCUCUAAAUCUUUCAUCCUUUGAUAAACGAACUCUAUACCAUUCCGCAAAACGAGUUCC